GAGGUGGGAGACGGUGGGGGGUACGGGGCAGUGGGGCCCAGGGCGGAAUUCGCCCGCGGAGGCAGGGUUAGCUUCGGCGUCGGGUCGCCCUUAGUGGUGCCCGUGCCGCCGCAGGCAUGCUCCUGUGAGGCUGUACCUGCUCUGCGGGACCUACGGGAGCAGCUCCUUCGCCUUGGGAAGGCGGGCCGGUGGCCUGCCGGUAGCUGGUGGUACCGGGCGGGAGCGGCGGCGGGCGGACGGGCGGGCAGCUGGGGUUUUCGGCUCUCUGCGGAGGCUGGCUCCCCGGCUGCUUGGGUGCGAGGGGCCUGACAAAGGCGGAGGUAAAAGCGGCAAGGAGUAAUUCGGUCACCAGCGGGCAACGCAUUCACGGUACUGGGGAAUAACUGCUUUCGGGCAGAAGGAACGCACGGCAGAAUUCAGGGAGUUCUGUCUCCAAGGGAAAACAAACAACUACAAUCACUGCAGGGUGGUCUUUCUAUGGGACAUACUUUCUCCUGUACUUAAUAAAUCUGUAUUUUAUUCUCCAGAAAUCAUGCAGGUUAUUCACAACUUGUAGCUUUUGUUCCGUAGGAAAUAAGGUUCUGAGGGCUAGUUUAUGGGUCUUUUCAGGAAAGGCAGGCACAACUGUGGAAUGAAACUAAUGAAGGAAGUACUCUGAAAGUGUUUGAAACCAAUAUUUCCAUAAAACCCCAAACCUUCCAGAUUGAAUUAAAUUCAGGUAGUCCCACUAAUGCUUUUCAGAAAGAGUCCGAGGCAAAAACCAGACUUGUGAGAUCAUGGAAUCAUAGAAUCGUUUGGGUUGGAAGGGAUGUUAAAGAUCACCUAGUUCCAACCCCCCUGCGAUGGGCAGGGACACCUUCCACUAGACCAGGCUGUUCAAAGCCCCAUCCAACCUGGCCUUGAACACUUCCAGGGAUGGGGCAUCCGCAGCCUCUCUGGGCAACCUGUUCCAGUACCUCACCGCCCUCUGUCAUUGUUAAAAUUGACAUUUUUGGCAAGAUUGUUGCAAAUUUGUUUAUAUUUUCUUUUUAAGUAUAUUCUAAUUAUUGAUCACAAUUAUGUCACUAUUUUGUCAUUGGAUUAAAAAUUUACCUGUUUUUCUUUC